rnacentral:rRNA from 1 species
GGCUCAGGAUGAACGCUGGCGGCGUGCCUAACACAUGCAAGUCGAACGAAGAGGCCCCUUCGGGGGUACUUCAGUGGCGGACGGGUGAGUAACACGUAGGUGACCUGCCCCGAAGUGUGGAAUAACAGUCCGAAAGGAUUGCUAAUACCGCAUGCGGUCUGUGAGGUUAGAGUCUUGCAGACUAAAGCACACCCGCAAGGGUAUGUGCUUCGGGAGGGGCCUGCGCCCCAUCAGCUUGUUGGUAGGGUAAUGGCCUACCAAGGCAACAACGGGUAGGGGGCCUGAGAGGGUGACCCCCCACAUUGGCACUGACACACGGGCCAAACUCCUACGGGAGGCAGCAGUGAGGAAUAUUGCUCAAUGGGCGAAAGCCUGAGGCAGCAACGCCGCGUGCGCGAUGAAGGCCUUCGGGUCGUAAAGCGCUUUUGAGAGGGACGAGAUAGGACGGUACCUCUCGAAUAAGUCACGGCUAACUACGUGCCAGCAGCCGCGGUAAAACGUAGGUGGCAAGCGUUAUCCGGAUUCACUGGGCGUAAAGCGCGUGCAGGUGGCUUCGUAAGUUGGACGUUAAAUCUCCCGGCCUAACCGGGAGGAGUCGUUCAAUACUGCGGGGCUGGAGGGCAGAAGAGGGGGGUGGAAUUGCUGGUGUAGUGGUGAAAUGCGUAGAUAUCAGCAGGAACACCUGUGGCGAAAGCGGCCCCCUGGUCUGCUCCUGACACUCAGACGCGAAAGCUAGGGGAGUGAACGGGAUUAGAAACCCCGGUAAUCCUAGCCGUAAACGAUGGAUGCUAGGUGUGGGUGGUAUUGACCCCAUCCGUGCCGAAGCCAACGCGUUAAGCAUCCCGCCUGGGGACUACGGCCGCAAGGU